UAAAAUAAGUACCAGUUAAAUAUUGGGUCGAUAUAAUCAAUUUUUCCCCUCCCAUCAAAUGCCAGCCUUGUGCCUAUAGCAGAAAGGAUUAUUAUUAA